ensembl:lncRNA
AUGGGAUGGUGUUACGAGGCCGGCUUCAUGAGUGGGAUUAGUGCCCAGACCGACCCCACAGAGUUCUCGCGCCCUGUUUUCUACCAUGGGAAUGCAGGUGGAGAAGGUGCGCACGGGUGGGCCGGGAAGCAGGUGCUCCCCAGGCACCAUCUGAGCUGGUCCCUUGAUCGGAGGCGUCUCCAGAACUAUGAGAAGCAAACUUCUGUGACUGACAUGGGGAUGAAGGAACAAAGCUCUUGCAGCUCUGCAGAGAAAGCCUGUGACGGGGACUUUAUUCCCGGGAAGCAGACAGCCCAGAGGGAGAGCCUGCAGGAAGGGCAAGUGUCUUGCACAACCUGCAAGAGGAACCCACCCGGACAGCCACGAAGUCCCGCGGGGCAGCCAGUGGCCAGAGCCGGGGCCUCUCCUGCGCCCGCGGGGUGCAUGGCAGCACUGGCCGCCCACUCUCUCUUUCCUGCUUUGAUCUGCUUCCCGUAGCAGAAGGCCCUGUCUGCAUCGGACACCAGAUGGCCCCCACAACCUUCUUAGAAUGGAUUUGCAUCAGAUAACACGCCGUCUCUGGCUCCCUCCCUGAAGGUGUGGGAGCUGCUUCUCUGGAAAGAAAGAAAAAAAUGGUAAUUUCAGUACCAGAAAAAAAAAUUGCACAAAUGUUCAUUUCUGUUUCCUCUGGGAUCCUUCUGAUGAUAAGUGGGCCCUGAAUUUGGGCAGCCUCCAAAAUGUGUUGGGUUCCUCCACGAUGCUUGGGGCCCUGGUCUCCCCAGCACCCACCUCCAGGGCCAAAGUCUCCUUGGGACAGUUUCACCAAAUCGUGGCAAGAUGUGGCUGCACACUGGGUUUUUGUCCUGUAUCUGCCGGGGGGCUUUGCACACACCAGCUGGCCCCUCUAUGGCGCAGGUGGAUUGCGGGCUGGGCUGGACUUCAAACACAGAUCAGCACAGCCGCUUACAUGGCUGAGGCCAAGCACAGAGGGACAUGUAUCUCUCACGGAUUCUCACCUUGAAUCCUCUGCUUUUCUCAAAACAGAUUGUGAUGGGGCCAUACGUGGACCUUCCAAUGGCCGCUUCGGAGAAACCUGGGGAGGAUUAGAAGAGAGAGCCACAUCCCAGCCACACACCUGCAAUACAAAUCAGAAGGAAGAAGUUAGUUCUUAAACGGCCAGCCGUGCCCAGUGCUGUGCAUGCCUCUGGAGGGAGGGCAAGUGCAUGCCCACCGCCUCCUCGUGCCAUGUUUCUCCGAUGUAGGCAGGGACAUGGUCUGGAGCAGGACCCAGAAGAACACAGACACCUUUGUUUCCUCACACACUCGCUCCAGAGGGCUUGCAGCCAUUCGGGAGGUGUCAGUGCAAGAGGGCCCCCUUGCAGCUGGGAGGCCAGGGACUCCUCUUCUGAGCUGUCCACAAACAGCACCCUGGGAAGGAAGUGGGGAAAGUGAAGAGAACCCGAGACCUGGCAGCGCACCCCAGCGGCACUCCUAAAUGGAUCCUGAGACCAUUGCUGACCCAUAAGAUGCAGACAGCGCCCCCCAUUGAUAGAUGGGGGGAAGCCCUUGAACAGCCACAGCACCAAACCCCUAGAAGGGCAGGGAUGACAGGAGGAGGCUGAGGACGGCCCCCUGCUCCUUGUCUGCCUCAGAGCUUUGAAAUGCGACUGUGUUUGAAGCGGCCUGGAUAACUAGAUGCAGCAGCAUUUAGGAGAGGCUGCCUCAAAUCCCUUUGGUAAUAGGAUGAGUAUAAGAUAAAAACGAAUCAAGUAAUGUUUCCCAUCAAAAUCGAGCUGCAUUGGCCAGCACCCUGUGAAACAGUGAUGCUUCCACAAGCAGGAAGACUGUCCCAUCCCUCAGCCCCCAGGUACCUGUCCCGGAUGAGGAGGUGCAGCUUUACAGAUGGGGGGCCUUUGGGGAUGCUCCCCACUGGGCUCAGACCUGCAGGCCCUGGCCUCAUUCCUGUCCUGGCCUCCAUCCACGCCAUAGCCCCAGUCCCCUAUCCCCAGCCCCCAGCCCCCAGCAGCCGUUCUUUGGCCCGCCCACCCUUCUUUCUGGGCAGUUCUUCCAUCUUCAUCACUCCCCUCCCCAGACCCUUGGAAGAAUCAUCUCUUCCCAGAAUCAAGGACCUGUGCUGAACAGUUUAAAAGACAAUCCUGUGGUUUAACUAGGAACCUAGAAGGGGGUGGAGAAAGCUCUCGAUCAUCCAGUGAGUCUCAGUCUCAAAGGGUGACAGGGCUGAUGAGCUGGCAAAACUCACGCCGUUUGUCAGCCUGGCUUCCUUCUCCAUCGUCUCUUUGUGGUGGUUUAAGACUUGUAGCUGCGUCUCCUGCAGGAAACCUUUGUGGGUCCUUCGUGAUGCUCUGUCCCUUGCCCGCCCCUGGGAAAUGUCAGCUGUGUACUGUGCAGGCCCCUUCCUCCUGGAAGACUGACCAGUCCUGGCCAGCAUGGCUGAGCUGGCCACUUCUGCGUGUGCCCCACACUGGAAGGCCUAUUUUGCUUUUGAGCAGGAAGAUGAAAUGAACUGCAGGCAUAGUUUUUGAGAGCAAGGGCAGGGAGAGCCCCUUGGGUGUGGGGACGUCACUGACUGUAUGGUGAGGCUGACCCCACAUGCGUGUCCAACCUCAGAGCUUUUGCCCUUGAACUUGGAAAGAAUGUGGGGAAGAACAUCAGGGAGAGAGGCUGGGGCGAGGAGAAAAAAGCCCUCAGGUCCUGAACUCAGGGCAUUUGGACAAGAAAAUGGGAUGAAGGGUGGCUGGUGAGACUGGAGGCCUGGCAAGAGCGACCACUCCAGGCCAUGUGCCACCCCAGAGAUUGCCCACGUGUAUGUCUUUCCCUGAACAGUGCAGUGCGUGCCUACCUUGGGGACCCUGAGGUUGGGUGUGGUGGGAGAGGAGACUUCGGGACUCCCUGUCCUUCCUGUCACACAUGCCCACAGGCUCCACUGCCGUCACCUGGCUCUAGAUCACCCCAUGUCAGCGCUGCCUACUGCACCCAGCUUCAGGCAUAUAUGCAAGAUCCCUGGGCCUGGGGAAAGGAAGUGUGGACCAUGUUUCCAGGUCCUGAAAUCUAGUGUUGGCGCCAACACCUGCUCCCUGCCCCCAACAUGUACAUCCCAAAGUCAUGUGCAAGGUGGAAGGCUAGGGUGUGGCCUGGCCAUGCAGACCCCUUCCCCCGCCUUCUCCCUCCCACAUGCAGGUCUGAGCACUGCUGGUCCCUGCCCACAUGGAACCUACAGCCUAGAGGGAGAGUCCCACUCCCGCCUCCGAGACAAGGCGUGAGGGAGGAGAGAAGAGGCCCCAAGCAGACAGAUAAUGGGGUGUCUGGAGUCACCUGACCCCAUUUUGGGGACAUCAGAGAAAGCCUUACUAAGCGCUGUUUUGAUAUCUAGAGGAGAAAAAAGGUUUUAAGGCAUAAUUGGCUGAAGCCCUUUGUGCCUUCUAAGGAUGUGUAUUUGCAGGUGGAAAGUGGCACGGUUCACAUCUGUGAGGACAUCUGUCGCUUGUCGUGGGGCCGGGGUGCCGGCCUGGGCAGGGCACAGCACGCGAACGGCUCCUUUGCAUGAGGAAGGAGGGCUGUGGGGCCUGGCAUGGGGUCUGGGAUGGGAGGGAGAGGGGCUAACACAUGGGUGAACAAAGGCAUGCAUUACUUUAUUUGAGCUGCUGGAGAGAGAUGUCCUGGUCAUGGGAGACAAAGUGAAGUCCAAGUUCAUGGGGCAGACGAGAGAGAAACCUACUGGGAAGUUUUAGUGAUGAGAUGCUGGGAUGCGCCCUCAAAGCUCCUCCCAUUAAGGCAGGACCAGAAAGGCUUUGGCUGAUGGUUGAAGCCUGAUGAAAAUAAAGACACCAGAAACUCCUGGAUUUGGCCA